rnacentral:rRNA from 1 species
UGCAAGUCGAACGAACUUCCGUUAAUUGAUCAGGACGUGCUUGCACUGAAUGAGAUUUUAACACGAAGUGAGUGGCGGACGGGUGAGUAACACGUGGGUAACCUGCCCAGAAGCAGGGGAUAACACCUGGAAACAGAUGCUAAUACCGUAUAACAGAGAAAACCGCCUGGUUUUCUUUUAAAAGAUGGCUCUGCUAUCACUUCUGGAUGGACCCGCGGCGCAUUAGCUAGUUGGUGAGGUAACGGCUCACCAAGGCGAUGAUGCGUAGCCGACCUGAGAGGGUAAUCGGCCACAUUGGGACUGAGACACGGCCCAGACUCCUACGGGAGGCAGCAGUAGGGAAUCUUCCACAAUGGACGCAAGUCUGAUGGAGCAACGCCGCGUGAGUGAAGAAGGGUUUCGGCUCGUAAAGCUCUGUUGUUAAAGAAGAACGUGGGUGAGAGUAACUGUUCACCCAGUGACGGUAUUUAACCAGAAAGCCACGGCUAACUACGUGCCAGCAGCCGCGGUAAUACGUAGGUGGCAAGCGUUAUCCGGAUUUAUUGGGCGUAAAGCGAGCGCAGGCGGUCUUUUAAGUCUAAUGUGAAAGCCUUCGGCUCAACCGAAGAAGUGCAUUGGAAACUGGGAGACUUGAGUGCAGAAGAGGACAGUGGAACUCCAUGUGUAGCGGUGAAAUGCGU